rnacentral:rRNA from 2 species
ACACAUGCAGUCGAGCGGAUGACAGGAGCUUGCUCCUGAAUUCAGCGGCGGACGGGUGAGUAAUGCCUAGGAAUCUGCCUGGUAGUGGGGGACAACGUUUCGAAAGGAACGCUAAUACCGCAUACGUCCUACGGGAGAAAGCAGGGGACCUUCGGGCCUUGCGCUAUCAGAUGAGCCUAGGUCGGAUUAGCUAGUUGGUGAGGUAAUGGCUCACCAAGGCGACGAUCCGUAACUGGUCUGAGAGGAUGAUCAGUCACACUGGAACUGAGACACGGUCCAGACUCCUACGGGAGGCAGCAGUGGGGAAUAUUGGACAAUGGGCGAAAGCCUGAUCCAGCCAUGCCGCGUGUGUGAAGAAGGUCUUCGGAUUGUAAAGCACUUUAAGUUGGGAGGAAGGGNNGUAAAUUAAUACUUUGCUGUUUUGACGUUACCGACAGAAUAAGCACCGGCUAACUCUGUGCCAGCAGCCGCGGUAAUACAGAGGGUGCAAGCGUUAAUCGGAAUUACUGGGCGUAAAGCGCGCGUAGGUGGUUCGUUAAGUUGGAUGUGAAAUCCCCGGGCUCAACCUGGGAACUGCAUUCAAAACUGUCGAGCUAGAGUAUGGUAGAGG